GAUGCAGCAGAGAGCAGGACGCACGGUCCCUGUGCUGAAACUCAGCACAGCAAUGUGGUGCUGGGGGCGGAGGCGGGGAAGGGCUUUGAGGACCAAGAGUUGGAGGGCCUUGCUGUUCUAGCACAAGGACCGUCCUCUGGGUGGGGAUGCUUUCUCUCCAGGACGUGUGGCUGUCGGAGCUGGGUGGCCCUUGUCUCACCCCGGUUGCUUGGGCAAGACUCCAGAAGACCUUUCCAGAUUCGUGGUUGAGCUGCAGCAGAGGGAGCUUGCCUUGAAGGACAAGAACAGCGCCGUCACCAGCAGCGCCCGGGGGCUGGAGAAGGCCAGGCAGCAGCUGCAGGAGGAGCUCCGGCAGGUCAGCGGCCAGCUGUUGGAGGAGAGGAAGAAGCGCGAGACCCACGAGGCGCUGGCCCGGAGGCUCCAGAAACGGGUCCUGCUGCUCACCAAG
rnacentral:sRNA from 1 species